rnacentral:tRNA from 1 species
GGGGGUAUAGCUCAGUGGUAGAGCACAUGGUUAGCAUGCACAAGGUCCUGAGUUCAACCCCCAGAACCUCUC